CGGGGUGUGGCGCAGGUGGUAGCGCGCUACGUUCGGGACGUAGAGACCGGAAGUUCGAGUCUUCUCACCCCGACAA
rnacentral:tRNA from 1 species